rnacentral:tRNA from 1 species
GGUUUUAUAGUCAAUAAUGACAUUAGAUUGCAAUUCUAAAAGAGUAAUAAUUUACUAAAACUU